CUCAACGUUUUUUAGAUAACAUCCUUUGUAAAGUUAAGGAAGAAUUUGGUCCCAGUCCUCCGCAGAGUAGCCACACAAUGGAUGGAGCGGGAUUCAUAUCACUACCGUAUCGAUUUAAACAAUCAGAAGUCGUGCGACAACUUGCGCAGAAAACACAGAAGAAAAUCGCCUACAAGAGGCCGCCUACUUUAUUUAACUCACUGCCUAAUGAAAAAGACAGAAGAAAAGAUAUUGAAAAAUCAGGAGUUUACGCGAUACCACUCGAGUACCCACAAGAAAAUAGGCAGACAGUGUACAUGGGGUCACUACCAGAACACUCGAUCAAAGAAUUCAUGAGUACAUGAAUGAUAUUCGAACGGGCAAGUUCACGACAGCGUUA
rnacentral:lncRNA from 1 species